CUUUUUUAUAUUAAAUUAUUUUUAGGAUGUCAUCCACCAUUUUUAGGGUUUGAAAAAUACACCAUGCUUUCAUGUACCAACCUAGAUAUCUUUUAUUUCUUCUGCCCAAAACAUGCAAUCCAACGACAUAAAUCUUAAAUUUUCGCAAACAAUCAUCAAUCUUAUAUUUAACCGUUAAUUUUUGGUGGAUCGAGGCUCAUGACUGUCGCCACAAGGACAUUGAUGUGAACGCAACAUGUGGCUCGGAUGCCUGGAUGGAAUUUUCUAAUAGCGUUUUGCUGAGAAAUUUGGAUCCGAGCUAGUGGGUUUGAUUCCAUCUGUAGUCGGAGUUUUACGAGGCACAAAUAUUAGCGUGUGGGGAAGGAGUUUCAAAUAGGUGAUGGGUUUCCUGUACAAGAUUAGCCGAGUAGGGAAAAAGGAGUUUUCUGUACAAGCAACUUUUAAGGAGGCGGCCGUGGCUUAGAGAGGAUGUGGAUUGAUCGAAUGGGUUUUGUGGUAUCAAGAGUAGAGUGAUACAGUGAGUGGCUUAGAGAGGGGGUUAAUUGAUCGAAUAUGUAACGAAAAAGUCUAAUCAAUUUGUUUAGGGUUCAUAGAUGGAAUCUGGAAUUGCAUCGUAACAGUACUUAAAGAACACGAUUCUUAACAGGUAUGCAUCUUGAUCGUCAAAGUUUAAAGUCAAAACAGGGGUUAGAGAAGGUGCGUAUCGACCAAUUGUGUAUCGACCAGUUUCAGAUGUUACUAACAUCAAGGUUUUCUUGAUUCAUUACUUUGUUGUGUGUGUAUGUAUGUGAAAUAGAGAGAACCGUAAAUCAAGCUUCAUGUGUAGUAUCUUGGGAUAUAGAGAAAAUUUAAUUAAAAAAAAACUUUUAAUA